CGGAGGGGCGUAGCGUUGUUCGGAAGUUACUGGGCGUAAAGCGCACGUAGGCGGACCAGAAAGUUAGGGGUGGAAAUACCCGGGGCGUCAACCUCGGAACUGCCCUCAAAACUAUUGGUCUGGAGUUCGAGAGAGGUGAGUGGAAUUCCGAGUGUAGAGGUGAAAUUCGUAGAUAUUCGGAGGAACACCAGUGGCGAAGGCGGCUCACUGGCUCGAUACUGACGCUGAGGUGCGAAAGCGUGGGGAGCAAACAGGAUU
rnacentral:rRNA from 1 species